GUCACGAUGCCAGAGUGGUUAAUGGGUUAGACUUGAAUACGACGCAGUCGGUCAGGGUAUCUAAUGGCUUCGGCCGCGUAGGUUCAAGUCCUGCUCGUGACG
rnacentral:tRNA from 1 species